UGCAUAAGUAUUUACCCCCUUAAACUUUUCCUCAUUGUGUAGUGUUAACAUAAAUGAACAUUAUUUAUAUAAUACUUCAUGGAUCUACACAAAACUGUCCUUAAUAGAUAAAGAUAAAUACUCACUGUUGUUGCUGUGAAACCUGUAAACUAGUUCAGGUGCAGCUGUAGUUGCCAUCAGAAAGGACAUAAUUGGGUGAAAGAAGUGCAAUUAAAGUGUCACAUGAUCUCCAAAGGGUGCUAGGAUGACAGCCCCUAAUAAAACUGUCAGGACGGGUCACAUGUUGGCUAUCUGCCACUCAAGCAUCACAGACCACCACAGAGUGAUGAAGCCACCACUGUGAUGGAUCCUCACUCACACCGCUUUCUGUGGAUUGUCACCAUGAGCAUCACCUGAGACGGCAGAGCUGUAGUUUUUACAUCACUCAGGCAAGUUGUGUCUAUCCACCACACACACGUUUACAACAGGGUGUCAGACGUACAGGCACGAUAAAGGUUCUCUUAUCUCACCAGAAGAAACUGUGUUCUGAAUUAAAAUGGUCUUGUGCAAUGUAAUUUAAGAGAUAUUUUUGAUAUUUCUCUGCUAAGUCUCUGUUUGUCCACCUGGUGGCGAAAUAGAGCGAUAAAUUCAUAAGCUGAUCUUCAACAAUGUAAUUCUUCAUUAGCAAGAUAUAAAUGUAAUUCUGUAAUUAAAAGAUUUUAUUUAGGUAUAUAACAGGGAAUAGGGUGAAUACUUUUUAAUGCACUUUUGGGUGUCAUUUUAAAGGACAAAGACGCCAGGAGCUAUAGUAUUUUGUGUGCGAUUUGGGGGUUUUGUGGUAAAAUACUUGCGUCACAGCUCAGAGAUCACUGGUUUAAAUCUGGCUUGUGCCCACACUCCAUACUGAGUGAUGUAAAAGGUGAGUGGGCAGCUGCAUGGGAGUGGUGAGAAAGGCAAUAUGAAAGGGAUUUGAUGAGGAGCAAGUGGAGAUGAAGGAUGUGAAAGGGGAGUAGAACAGUAGUUUGCACUUAAUUUGUUUUUGCAUAAAUGUCUGCUACUUCUCUCCUCCAGGCCAGCUUUUAUAUGCACUGCCUUAUGCCAUCUCUUCUCUUCACACUUUCCCAUUCCCAGCCUUCUUGUGCGGGCUCUCUAUCCCUCCUUGCCAUUUUUCUCACAGGCAUCUUGUGUGUACACUGUUUACACUUGUGCAUUGGCGCCCUCCAGCAUGUGGCAACUUGUCUAUGGCUGCUGGCUCUGGUGCCCUCCAUCCACCUUGCACCUGCUGCCUCAUCUACAGCUACUGGCACCCUGCAUCUUGUGUGUGCCAUCUUGUUUACAGACACUGUGCCCUCCAACCACCUUGCAUAUGAAGCAAUUGCCUUUCACUCACCUUGUUUUUGAGUCCUGUGUGGGUUUUGAACCGAUCACAAAACCUCCAGCCCAUGCUCACUUACACCAGAGACCAAGGCACUAACCACUACACUAUUGCAGGAGCAGACAACUUACUGCUGCUUAUGGGACUUUUGUCUUAAUAAGCACUCAACAUGCUUCUGAAGCAAAAGCAAGGACACCAAGACUCAACCCAAGGACCUCACAAACCAGACAGCAUGCCAACUAACCACUACACCACUCAAGGUCUAGGGUGAUGAUUGCUUAUUGGACUUUUGUCUUGAUGAGUGGCUCAACAUGCUCCUUUUUAAACGGUCUAAUUAACCCUGACCUAAAGCUUUAUUUAAAAAAAUAAGCUUAGACAGGGAUCUUGCACACACCCAAGCAAUGAACAAACAACUGUGCAAUCCAAAGCCAGUGCUCAUCCAUAUGAGCCACAAGAACUCACGUUAACUCGUGCCUUUAAACACCUUUUCACCUUGGUCUAAUUAACCCUCACCUGAAGGCAUUCACAAAAGAAAGAGUUUCGUCAGACAGACUUGAAUCUUCAACCUCAUACACCCAAGCCUGUAGCACUAACCACUACACCACAAACAUACCUUAGGGUUAUGGAACUUUUGUCUUCAUAAAUGUCUCAACAUGAGCCUGAGCUAAAACAAAAACAAGCACACCCAAACCAAGGAUGUCAUGCACUAAAAGUCACUUCACUAACUACUGCAGGAUAGAAAAGUUCUCUCACCUAUUGGUCUUUUGUCUUAAUAACGUGCUCCAAGUGAGCAUGAGCUUAACCAAAAGACACAGAUUUGAACUAGGGCCCUCACACACACCUCAGCCAUAACCACUACAGAACAGUUGGCUAGUUGCUUAAUGGACUUUUGUCUCAGAACCCUGAAUGAGGGCGCAGAGACUCAAACCACAGCCACCACACACCACAGCCCAUGGCACUAACCACGCAACCACAGGUAGUGAUGCUGCAUUCUGGGCUUUUGUUAUAAUAAGUAGGUCAUUGUGGGUCUGUUUAUACCAUGGAAAUGAACAGAGCUAAACAAAGUGUUCUGUGAAGUCUAGUAAUAUUUUAUCUUUCAUCUAACCAAAGACAUAAAGCAUCAAACCAGAGACCUCACCCACCAGAGCCCACGGCCUUACCUACUACACCACAGAAAGUGUUGUUGUUUACUGUCUGCUCAAAAAUUACAGGUGAAACACUUGAGGGUAGAGGAACAGACUGAGGUUCAUCCAUCCAUCCAUCCAUCCAUCCAUUUUCGAUAGAUAGAUAGAUAGAUAGAUAGAUAGAUAGAUAGAUAGAUAGAUAGAUAGAUAGAUAGAUAGAUAGAUAGAUAGAUAGAUAGAUAGAUAGAUAGAUAGAUAGAUAGAUAGAUAGAUAGAUAGAUAGAUGCUUUAUUCAUCCCAAAGGGAAAUUCACAGCUUCCAGCAGUAUCCACAAACACAGGUAAUAGAUAAAAUAGGAAGGAAUAUAACAAAAAUACCCAAAUUAGGGUACAAAAAUAUAACAAAAAAAUAUAUCAAAUAACAAAAAUAUAAAAUAUUACCAAAUAUAGCAGAAUAUAACAAUAUAAUAAAAUAUAGAAAUAAUUUCUAAAAUACCCAAAUUAGGGUACAGAAAUAUAACAAAAAUAUAUAUCAAAUAACAAAAUAUAGAAUAUAACAAAAAUAUAUCAAAUAACAAAAUAUAAAAUAUUACAAAAUAUAGCAGAAUAUAACAAUAUAAGAAAAUGUAUCAGAAAAAUACUAAAUACAGAGAUUUAGGAAUAAAUAUGGAGAAUGAGAUGAAAAACAAGUCAUGUGCAAGGCAAGUGUUUAAGGUUACAGACCUAUUUGAUGUGCAAAAACUGUUAUGUGCAAAAACUGCGUGUUUAUGAGUCCUGUGCAAAUCUCAGUUUAUUGAGAGUUCUGUAUAAACCGGAGUGUAUUGUGUGUAGUGUGUGUUUUAUUGUGUUUUAUUAUACUCGCUAUAUUCCUAAUUAGGGUCACAGGGAUCUGCUGGAGCCUAUCCCAGCACACAUUGGGCGAAAGGCAGGGGUACACCCUGAACAGGUCGCCAGUCCAUGGUCGAGGUUCAGUCCUCCACUAACCAACUCACACCAAUCUACUACCAGAGCUGUUGGAGUAGAUAUCCUCCGGCUAAAUAUGCGUUUGUUGAUAGAAGCCAGACCCAUGUGCACUUGCACCUGCUGUUUAAACCCAACACAAUCAGAGCUGAAUUAAAUGUUUGUGAAUUCUCUGUUGAACACUGUUUCUUUCUUGUUCUGAACAACAAUAAAAUAAUUUCUUGGACACACUGACAGAGCUUCCAUGUCUUGUUUAUAAUUGCAGGUUUCUGCUAC